GACAGUCCUAUGGGGGGUUCUGUGGACGCGGCCUUCUCAGCGCUGCUGCCAUCCCAGGGCUUCUCUCCUGUUCAAUGUUACCGCUGGUGACACUUGGGGCGUUGUUUCUCCCUUGUCCAGGGGGUAUGGGUUGUUGGAGUCGGAGCUCCUGCAGAAAGUUCUUUGGGUCCUCCUCUGCCGAUAGCGAGAGAACUCUGUCUCCGUGUGGGACUACUAGGGUGCCCAAG